UGGGGAAUCUUGCGCAAUGGGCGCAAGCCUGAUCCAGCCAUGCCGCGUGAGUGAUGAAGGCCCUAGGGUUGUAAAGCUCUUUUCACCGGUGAAGAUAAUGACGGUAACCGGAGAAGAAGCCCCGGCUAACUUCGUGCCAGCAGCCGCGGUAAUACGAAGGGGGCUAGCGUUGUUCGGAUUUACUGGGCGUAAAGCGCACGUAGGCGGACUUUUAAGUCAGGGGUGAAAUCCCGGGGCUCAACCCCGGAACUGCCUUUGAUACUGGAAGUCUUGAGUAUGGUAGAGGUGAGUGGAAUUCCGAGUGUAGAGGUGAAAUUCGUAGAUAUUCGGAGGAACACCAGUGGCGAAGGCGGCUCACUGGACCAUUACUGACGCUGAGGUGCGAAAGCGUGGGGAGCAAACAGGAUUAGAUACCCAUGUAGUCCCUGAGCGGGCUGGCAAGGCGCAU
rnacentral:rRNA from 1 species